AGCCCACAAGAAGGCCCAAAUCACAAGCCCAAUUAUAUUGUAAACAAUUACACAAAACUCAAACCCUAUGAAAUCACACGCUGCGUCGCUGACACACACUCCAUACCACCUAAAUCUAUUUUCUCUCUCUCACUCAGCGGGCUGACCGGCGAGUCGGCGACCGCUGACACACACUCCAGCACUCGGCGCGACGGCAACUCGUCCUCCCGGGGAAGCUCCGACGAGCCUAACAGCAGUAGCAGUGCAGCACAGAGUCGCCGCGCCGCCGCCUUUGGCUCUCCUUUUCCAGGCCCGGCGGCCGGCGCGUUAGCAGCAGCAUCUACCACCACCGACUGCCCUUUUCCCAGCCCGGUGCGACUGCUCUCCUUUUCUUAGCCCAGCGCAACUGCUCUCCUUCCUCGGUGCAACUGGUAAUCGAGCUUAAUCGAGUCGAGCUCGAGCUCGCGAAUAUGGCAUCGAGUCGAGCUCGAGCUCAAAAAAAUCAAGCUCGGCCGAGUCGAGCUCGAGCUCGAGCUUUAUGAAAACAACCGAGUUCGAGUCUGAGCAGAGCAAUACUCGACUCGACUCGGCUCAUUUACACCCCUA
rnacentral:lncRNA from 1 species